rnacentral:misc_RNA from 1 species
GAUCAGUUUCUCCAUUUUUCUCAGCGGCUAUCGAAAGUGCGAGAAAUUUCUUGUGAGAAAAGACAAUUUAUGACGUCACGUAAAAAAUGUCUAUUAUUUAGAUCAAUUAUAAAAUUAUCUUUAGUCUUAAGGGUAACAGAAAGAAGUAGCUGUACACGUCUCAUCAAAAAUGCAAAAACCCAAAAUAAACAUAAUCACAAAUAAAAGAUUAAACACUCAAGUCUCCGGAGCAAAUAUAUGUGUAACAAUACAUAAAAUUAAUGCAAACAGCGAAGCAAGAUUUCGUUCUCAUCUCCUAUUAAAGAAGCAAUUAGUUUUUUGUUUGAAGAAAUAAAUCGUAUUGGGAAAAUACAAAAUAUCAUCAAAAGUUUUUGGACCUGAUAAAAAGUCUAAUGAGUGGAUGGUACCAGAAUCAUCUUUGAUCGCAAGUUGGAAAAAGAAAAAUUAAAUAAACCAAAAUUCUCUUGCUCUUCCAAGCUCUCCAAGUCCAGGUUCCAGUCCAUGAAAGUGCUAGUUCAUAUCUUUGUAUAUAUUGGUGUUUGAUUGCAUUAUUUGUAUAGAUUGGUGUUGGCAAUUGAUGUUUACUAAAACACAAAUGUCGUAAUGUAUGUAAAUUUGAUAUGUGCAUAAAUUUAAUAUGAAUGUAAAUUUGAUAUGUACGUAUAUUUAAUAUGUAUGUAAAUUUGAUGUGUGUGUAAAUUUAAUAUGUAUGUAAU